CAAGAAGAAAGGCUGCGGCUGCAGGAGCAAUACGCAUCGGGACAAUAGGAGCGCACCUGUGUGGAUGCGAGGAGGCAAGGAAAGGCUGUAUCUCCAUUGGUGCUUGCUCCAUGGUUGGUCUGCUUCGAGAAUUAAACCACAUCUCCUGAACAUCUCACAUCUCCUGUGUUCUGUUACAGACUGAACCACAAACCUAAUAAAUAUCUGCAUCUAAAUCA